rnacentral:lncRNA from 1 species
GCAUCUUUCAAUGCGGUCCUCCCUGUUUUCCAGCUGUGUUGCCUGUUAUUCUUUGGGGUCCUCGUUUUCUUUUGGGAGAAGAAGGUGUCAGUGUUGAACCCGGAGCGUACCCCGGCCUGGUAUGUAGUGCCAUUCCAAGACAGACAACCCUACGCACUCGAUGGAGAUGACGUUAGUGCUUGAAGGCGAUGUUUUUUCCUUGGACUGCGUGGCUGGCGAGAUGGUAAUGCCGAGUCUGGGAGCAGCUUCACAGCUCAUUGCCCUCAUCGGAACAACUGCCUGAGAAGCGCCGUGCCAAAGCCAAGCGUUUGCCGGGUGCCCACUGUGUUGCUGCGAAGGGUGGGGAGCAGCGCACCCGCUCGCAGGGUCUCCUCGGGGACCUAUUGCCUGCCAACUUCCCUCUGCCAUCCUCCGAGGCGGCCUGUCCCCAAGACACACGUGUCUGGGAAAGGGAAUGAGCACCAUGUAACCAGACAGCUGCAGACCACUGACAAGAGUCUAUGGACCACCAGUUUGGGAAACCUCUGCUUUACACCUCUAAAUUAUUCAACGUUUGUUCUCUCUGAUGACACCACGGAUCUGGGAAUGAAGACCUUCUUAGAGCUGAUUGGAAAUGGCAUUGCGGAGCUGAAACUUAACUGGAGGAAAUAUAUCUCCUGA